rnacentral:rRNA from 1 species
GAUAGAGAUAGGUCGUGGAAGGGAUCGGCAACACCUUGUGAUGACACUGAUAAACAACUGUUCAAUAGUUGCACGAGGAUAAUGCUAGGCAAUAAUGGAAACAUCGCAAGUUUCUGGAGAGACCGUUGGCUCAACGGGGAGGCCCCAAGUGAUAAAGCACCGGCCCUGUUCAAGCUUGCAAGAUUCAAAAAGAUAACUGUCAAGGAAGGAUUGCGGGAUGGAAGAUGGAUGCAGGGGCUGCAAAGAAUGGACAACAUCGACCAGCUCACACAGUUCGUGCAACUAUGGGAGGAGGUGAACCAAAUUGCAUUGCUGCCGGAGACAGAUGCAAUUGCUUGGAGUCUUGCUGCAAAUAGUAUGUACACUGCACGCUCAGCAUAUGCGGUGCAAUUUCUCACAAGGAUUGAGAAGCCAUGGCUAUCCAGAGUAUGGCGAAGUAAAAUGGAAGGAAAAGUUAAGUUUUACAUCUGGCUACUGCUUCAGAACAGAAACUGGACUGCAGAUCGACUUCGAGCUCGAGGAUGGCCUCACAACAAUAAGUGCAAAUUAUGUGACCAGGAGCCUGAAACUGCGGAUCACACCGCGUUGCUGUGCUCUUAUUCAAAAGAGGUUUGGUUCCAGUUCCGGCAACCCAAUGCUGCGUUGUGGGAUAUUGCUGCCGCAGCCCAAUCCAUCGGGGAAUGCUGGGACAGAUUGUGCAUUGCAAACCGGCCAAAAGAGAAAUUAAACGAGGAGAUCACAUUGGCGGCAUACAUACUGUGGAACUUAUGGAAGGAGCAGAACAGAAGAAUUUUCGAGCUAAAGGAAUUAUCGGCUUUUGCUCUUACGGGCCUAAUUCAAGAGGAUGUUAGAUGCUUCAGGGAUGCCUGGAGGGAGAGAGUGUGA